UUGGGCUCCUUCCCCUGGCCGUGGGCACUCCAGUUGAGCGGCCUCAGAAUCACCUGGGGGCUCGUGCAACAGCACAGAGCUGAGCUCAGCCAGGUUCUUGACUCAGCAGUUCUGGGUGGGCUGAAGACAUGCAAGGAUCACAUGAUCCCAGGAGACGCUGCAUAGAAACCUCGUUGCAGACCAGGCUUUCUCAACCUCAACCUCCAAUGCACAUGAGAGCCGACAGAGAGUGCCAAGGACCACUGCCUAAAGCACACACUCAGUUGGCCCCAGUGUGGGAGCAGAUGUACUAAGAAGAAUGGAUAAACACCACUCAAAUCAGAGAAACCACUUUUUCUUCAAGAAUGAGCAAAUAUGUCAAGUGCAAAAAUUAUCUGCAGCACCAAAUCCUGGCAAGUGAUUUGCUAAAAAAUAGCACGGCUUAAAAAAGGCAGACCCAGAAUUGAAUCCCUUCUAGAUGGGUGACCUGGAAUGUGGCCAAGUGGAGCCCAGUUUAUGCCUGGAUCCCUCCUGGUGUAUUCACAGCCUCUGCUCCUCUGUAACCUUGGGCCCAGAGAGACUCUCAGUAGACUGAGCUAUGUAACAAAGACAGAUACAUUCUCUAUUCCUCAGCCAGAAGUUUAUCAGCAUAGACAAUAGACCCCUAUGAUAGAUGUCACAAAGGCUGCUAGUGUAUAGUUUCCAUUAACAAACUGAGCAAUGCAAUUUACACGUCUCACAGAAAUGAUCAAGAAGACUGCAUUAAUCAACUGGAACAGUGCUAUGCGUGCUCUGAGACAACAAAUAUUUUUAAUGGAGAGUGUUGACAGGCUUUGCUACCUCCUGAAGUUGGCCAAAGAGAAUCUAAGGAUUUCAGGAGCAUCUUUUAUGCCAAGGUAAAUUUCCUCUUACAAAAAAAGGAGCAGCCUUAAUUGCUGGAAGAAAAGCCAAGCUGAUUUAUGCACUGGAGAUGCAAGGUCCAUGUGGAGUGGACGAGGAACAGAAGGUUUUGGUGGUGGAGGAUAUGAAAGAAGUGAUGGCGGGACGUGAGAGCAGGAGUUAAGUAGAGACAGAGACUGUUUUUUUGCAGGUCAAAAAGAAGUCUGGUGACAGCAAGUCUCGGCCAGGACACGGACAACAGGAGCUCUUAUUUACUGCAGGUGGGUGUAUAAAGUGAUGUAACUACUUUGGAAAACAAUUCCUACAGGCAUUAUUUGGUAAAGUUGAACAUGUGCAAGCCCAAGUUAAUUUCCUUACAAAUACAUAUUGCAGAGAAGCACUUAUAGUUAGGGUGCAGGAAUCAUAUACUAGCACGUUCACAGCAGGAGAACAAAAGGAAAUGACCCAAAUGAUGACAAGAAAGAGAGUGGGUAAAUAAACUAUGGGACAUUUACACCUGGAAUAAGGUACAGUAGUUAAAAGUAAGGAAUCACAGCAUAUACAGUCAUGUGAGUUAGUUUUAGAAGCAAACUUGAGCAAAAAAUUUUUAACAAAUCAUGGAAAAUUACAUGCAGCAUGACACCUUUUCUAUAAAGGUGAAAGUCAAGUUAGACUAAAUAAUAUCUUACUUAGGAGAGCACACACAACACCCAAGGGAGAGAGGCAGAAACGAUUUUUAGGACUUAACAAUGCUCUGCUUGCACAAUAUGGGUGGUAGGGUUUUUAAAAUUAUUAUUAUGCCCCGUUAUGUCAUGCAUUCAUUUGUAAAAAUAAAAAUACACAAUAAAUGUAAAGAAAAAGAUAGAAAUUAAUCAAAAUAUAUCAAUAAUCACAAUAAAAAGACUAAAAAAGGCAGAGAUGGUAAGGCUGUUUUUAGCAACAGAAAUAACAAAUCUAGUUAAAUGCGUUUUAGAAGAGGCAAACAUAAAACAUAAGGACACAGAAGAAUUGAAAGUUAAAGGACAGAAGAAGACAUUAUAAAACUAGAGGUAAACAUAACAUCAGACAGAUAGAUAUUAAGGUAAAAAUUAGGGAUUUCUAACAUGCUAGGAUCCACGAGAGUCAAGAGGGUCUCUGCAAAAUCCCCAUAAAAUUAUAGCUUAUUUGUAUCUACAUAAUACAGCCUUGUUGUAUAAAGAAAAACUCAACAGACUUGUAAGGAGAAACUGACAAAUUCAAAAUUAUAGCAGAGGUUUUAACAGAAAAUUCAGGUUUGUCCUUGGAUCUAUUUUUGCUAAUUUUUCCCUCUUAAUUUCUACAAGAUUUUAAAGAGGGAGUUUCUCCCUUUUGUUAGAUCUUGUUUUUUUAUGCCUGAAAAUAAGGAUUGCACCAGAUGGGUAAGGAAUCCAUGCAAUACCAAUAAUUCCAUGUCAGGACAUGUCUGGGACAGGGUCUUGGCUCAUGAUGGAUGCUCUGAGCCCAAUGGCAGCUGAUGUUUUUCCCUGGUAUGUCCCCGAGAGUCCAUCACCUAACAAUGUCACCUCCAAAAUUCCCCCUUCCUGUCUCAGACAGCCUUAUGUGACAUGCAGAAGCUUGUACGCAUCUUUGUCAGCUGAAAAGCAGACAGGGGAAAGCACAGCCCACACACUGAGCUUCUGGGAGCUCCAUAUCUGGUUUGCUUCUUGAAGUCAAUUAGGAGGUGACGGAGUGAGGCAGUCAGUGCAGGCUGACUCUGUGGGAGGCUGGUGUUGGUCCCUGGGAACAGGACAGAGCCAGAUGUGAAGGCUGGGAGUUAAGCUUCCCUAAGGGGUGUUCCCACUAAAAGGCCUAGUCUGGCAGUGAUGGUGUCAUAAUCUGAACCCGAGACGAGGAGUCAGGUGCCCUGGGAAGCUUUUCUGCCUUGAUAAUCACUUAUGCAACGUUGAGCAAGUUGAUGUUUCUCUUGCAUUUUUUUCUCAACUCAAAAGUGAUAGGACUGAGUUCUAAACUCAGAGGCCUUCGCAGCUCUGGUCAAGACAGAGAACGCUACGUCUUGACUUUUUUAUUCAGUGUGAAGAAGGAACUAACAAACACCAAGUGCCUACUAGGCUCACCAUGCUUUAUCCUGGGGUAAGAUGGAUGCCCACAUGUUCCGGUUACUUUUCUAGGCCUCACCUCUGAACGUCACGGCAUAAGGGAUCUAGCCCUCAAUACAUGAGCAUUUGAGGACACUUUUUAUCUAAACCACUUUUUAAUCUAAACCUCAGUUUAUCUAUCUGUGGAGAUCACAUUAAAAUACCACAGCAGGUUGUAAAGAUCAAAUGGUCUCCUCACAAUAGCCUGCCUGCUUUCUUCAGGGUAGACUCUUAACAUGCACUUUCUUUUACUAGGCCUCAGCUCACUCUGCACAGACAAUUUGUCUCAUUCUUGACUGUUACUUUUUUAAUUAAACUUUUCUACUGCUUUUUGCCUGUUUUGUUCAAUUUUUUGUUGGAGAGAAGAAGAACCUGGAAUCUACCUUCAGGAGAAGAGGUCAGCAACCUAGAGGCGGUAACAUUUCUCUCUCACUUUCAGAAGGAGCUACUCAACAGUAUUUUGGCACAGCCAGCCGGGAGAAUCAGAAGCCAGGAGAUUCUGCUAAUAUGUUGUACAGCAAGCCGGGAGUAAAGCUCGGGUACCAGAGACCAAGUAAGGUCCUGGUUGGGCACAAUCUUUAUUUCUCUCUGAGGAUUUUUAUUUUCUCCUUCAUUUCCUGUCUCCCUUAAGCUAGGAACUGGGGGACUCUUCUCAAGGCUCCAGGGAGGGGCUUCCGGGCCCAUGGGGGAAAGGAAUAAAAGGCUUUUGUUUUUCUUUCUAGCUGCUUGGGUUCUUUCUGUGGGUCCUUGUUAUCUGUGCAUUUGUUUUUUGUUCUUUGUUACUCUUUUUGGAAUUUAAUCUGGUCUCUGCUUACGCCAGCUUUGUAAGUGGCUUUCCUUUUCAUUUGUAUUGUAUUUGUUUGCUACUUUCUUAGAGGAAGUUCACCUGGCCUGUGCUUACCGCAGUUCUGUGAAUGUUUUUUUUUUUCUCAGUUUGUAUGGGAUAACGCGAGGAUGAAGGAUGCCCAACCGUGGUGUGGGUGACAUCAAUAAACAGGCUUAGAAUUUGUGUGGACUCAUGCAACUAGACAGGUUUAGGUCAACUGUCUUCUUUCUUUCCUUGUUUCUUCCUUUUCUUCUUCCUUCUUCCUUCCUUCCUUCCUUCCUUCCUUUCUUCUUCUUCUUCUUCUUCUUCUUCUUCUUCUUCUUCUUCUUCUUCUUCUUCUUCUUCUUCUUCUCUUCUCUCUCUGUCUCUCUCUGUCUCUGUCUCUCUCUGUCUCUCUCUUUCUCUCUCUCUCUCUCCCCCCCUUCCUUCCUUUCAACUAGCUUUACAAGCUAAUCCUCUGAUUUUGGAGAACAAGAGGGAGGAACCUCAUUUCUUUUUGAAUUAUUAUAAACAAAUGGUGGCCCUUUUCCACAUGGAAGAGAAAAUACAGCUAUCCAUUUAAAAGGAAAUGCUCAAGGCUUUUGCCAAGGUAAGACAAUGACUGGGAGGGGCUGUUUCAGCUGCUUUAGCUGACUGGCUUCUUCCUUGUUUGAAAUCCCACCUGGGACUAUAGCUUUCUUUCUUGUGUAAGUACAUAUAAUUUAAAACUCUGUUCCUGAUGACCUGAGCAAAACAAAUAGACAACAUUUAAAAUUUAAUUAAGGAGGCUGAAUAUAUGAAAGCAGAGCUAUCCCUGUUCUUAACAUUUGACUAUCAGACUAAAGGCCUUUAUAUGAGGCUGUCAAAGACCCUAAAUCCCUAGAAUGGACAAAAAUAAUUGAGAAUGUAUUUAAGGAAAUAAAGUAUAUCCUUACCCAGGCUUCAGCACUGGGAACACCUGACUAAAGAAAACCUUUCUUCUGGGGCUGGGGAUUUAGCUCAGCGGCAUAAGCGCCUGCCUUGCAAGCAGGCAGUCGUGAGUUCGAUCCCUGGUACCGAUAAAAAGGAAAAAGACAAAAAAAAAAAAAAAAAAAAAAAAAAAGAAAACCUUUCUUCUCUAUGUAGCAGCAAAGAGAGGAAAUGCUUUGGGGUGCUUGAACCAAGGGAUAGGACAUAAACUCUGCCCAGUGGCAUGCUUUUCAAAAAGUUGGGUGGAGUGGUUGCUGGAUGGUUCUACUGCCUGAGAGCAGUAGAAGCUAUAGUUGUACUAACAGUGGGGUUGAGAUAGCAGUCCUGACUCUCCAUCAGGUCAGAGCUAUUCUGGAGACAAAAGGUUACUUGCAUUUAUCAGGGAAAUGAUUCAUUAAGGCUAUGUUAUUAGAUACCUCUGAAUUUAUUAUAAAAACUUGAGCCACUAUAAAUCCUGUUUCUUUGAUGCCUAUAGUCCCAGAGGUUAGUCACUCUUGUGAGUAAGUCAUUUCCCAGAUCUGUGCAAGUAGGCAGGACAUCAGUGAUCUGCCCCUCCAAGACCCUGAAGAGGUAUAGUUUACUGAUGGAAGUAGCUUUGUCCAGUGAUAUCAAAAGGCAGAUUAUACAGUUGUCAGUUCAUAACAGGUCACUGAAGAUAUAUUUAUUCUUCCAGGAAGCUCUGCUCAAAAGGCAGAGCUAAUAGUUCUUACUCAGGUACUGAUGUUAGGAAAAAGCAGAAGGUUAAAUAUCUAUAUAGACUCCAAAUAUGCCCUUCUGAUACUAUAUGCCCAUGCAGAAAUCUGGAAGGAAAGAGCUUUACUGACUAAUAAACUGCCGUCCAUCAAGCACAGCAGGAAACUCUGCAACUCCUACAGACAGUCCAUCUUCCUAAGCAGACUGCAGACAGGCACUGUAAAGGGCACCAUAGAGACAUGUCUGAAGUGUUCUUGAGAAAUCAAAAGGGAAGCAAAAGGAUAGAGGAGGAAAAAGUCAGCCUUACAGCCUCUUAAGACUUUAGUCUUAUUCCCAGUUCUUGAGGAACCAGUAAAAGCAGUCUGUACUACCCAGGAAAAUAAAUGAGCCUCAGAACAAGGGGAAUUAAAAUUCUAGUGGUAGUUAGAAAUCAAACUGGCCCUUUCUCAAGGGAUGCAGUGGAAGGCUAUAAAAACACAUCACAAUUCCUUCCAUAUGGAAAGAGAGGCUACAUUAGAAAUGGUCAAAUUUUCCCAGGCUAGAAUUAGCAGCAACCACCUGCCAGGUCUGCAAAUCUUGCCCUCUCUGUGCCUACAAUAACCCGGGCAACUAGAACCCAUACAGAGGAGAAAGACACACCCUGGAGAGUUCUGGAAACUGGACUUUACCCAUAUGCCACCAGGUGGAGGAUUUACACAGAAGUUGGUCUUACUCGACACUUACAGGCUGGAUCGAAGCCUAUCCCACCCGUUCUGAAAAGGUUCAGAAAAGCCUGAGGUAGUCUAUGUGCUUCUUAAAGAAACCAUCCCUAGCUUUGGACUACCCCAGUCCCACAAGAGUGACAAUGGACCCUCUUUUACCUCCAAAAGGGGAGUGUCAGGGGGUGGCAAAAGCUUUAGGAAUUAAGUGCCACAUCCACUCCUCUUGGUGGCUUUAAUCUUCUGGGAAGGUAGAGAAAGCCAACUAGACCUUAAAGCAAGAUUUGGCAAAACUUUUCUAAGAGACAUCUGAGUCCUGCUCCAACUGAGCCAAUAGCAUUCAUGAGAGUUUGUAACAUGCCCCAAAUUGGGCUAAGUUUGAGCCCAUUUGAGAUGUUAUACGGGAGGCCGUUUCUGUCCUCUGAUAUGAAGUAGACCCAGAGACCAAGAGGCUCUCACAAUAUCAUUAAUCUGGGCCAAGUACACCAGGGUCCAAAUGCACUGGAAACAGAGUCCCGCCGGGUCCUGGCCAAAAAGGAUUACCUACUGUCCAUCUUAGAGACCAAGUGCUUGUAAAAAUUUGGAAAGAAGGGACACCUGUGGAUCAAUUAAAACCAAAAUGGUAGGGUCACUUCUCAGUAAUCCCUGCCACACCUACUACAGUAAAGGUAGAGGAUAUUGAUAAUUGGAUUCAUCUUUCUAGAAUAAAGCUAGUGUCAGCUGAACUAUGUGAGGAACAAAAUCACCUGAAAGGAGAGAGCUACUUCUGUGAGUCUCUGGAAACCUUGAGAUUUCUCUUCAAAAAGCAAGACUCAGGCCGGGGAUUUAGCUCAGUGGCAUAAAUGUCUGCCUGGCAAGUGCAAGGUCAUGAGUUUGGUCAUGAGUUUGAUCCUAAGUACUGGGGGGUGGGAGGGAAGAAGAUUUCAGUGCUGCUAAAGGAACUAUGGAAAUCUGACUAGCUUCCCUUAUCUGGGCUAAUAGUGAAGGUCAGUGGUCAUUAACUCUUUCCUCAUUGUUUUCUGACAGGUUUUUAAUUCUUCAAUCCAGCACCAGUGAGCACAGUACCCCAAGAUAGUUGGAGAACACAUAAUUCCCAGCGGGUCCGGUCUAUAGCUCCUUCCAGUUCAAAGAAGCUAUAGAAGACCUUCACUCCCUCAGAACGAUGGGAAUUUGUGUCUCCUGGGGAAAUGACAUAGGCCAUCAGGUUGGGGCAAAGCUGGUUGGGGAAGUAAGUGUGAUCUGUUAAUUACAAGAUUCCCCAACACAUGAGCAGAAAAAGACUCAAAGCCCUGCAUGUGGACUUCUUAUGAGAGCUCAAACAGGUUUUCAAUAAGAUGGCUUAGACUCGACAUCAGCCUGAGGUGUGGAAUCCCAGGGCUCAUAAGGAGAAAUUCUCAUGGGAUUCUUCAAGAUCUGAACAGUACAAAAGAACACAGAUACUAAGGAAAGCUAGUUAUUAUGGUUUUCCUCAUGACAGUCCUCUCUGCUGUCUCCAGGGUGUACUUUUACCUUGCUUUUUCUUUUUUUUUAAACGUGGUCCAAACUUGUUCUGUAGAGCCAAUUUCCCUCUCACACUUCACUUUUGCUUUUUCAAAUAAAUGUUGCUGCUACUAAAAACAAAUUAAGUACAUAGCAUGAUACUUGGCAUGUGACAACAACUUGAUAAAAACAUAAUGUCAUUCCAAAGAAUAUAAGUUUAAUUGUGUUAUUUUCAUCUGUGCUACUCCCAACAUCUUUAAACCAAGAAGAAGCACAAAGAUGAAGCUCUGUCUUGGUAAGGGGUAUUCAUAAAAACUAAGAAUAGUAAAUUCAUGUGGUUUUCAAACCAUAAAUAUUUUUGGUUUUGUUUGUUCCUUUUCUGAUGAACAUACUGAAUACAAAAUGCUUCCUCCAUGACUUGCCUUUGUUUAUUAUGGGUAAGGAGAGCUUUUUGACUGAUUAGUUUCCUUCCUCUGUCCAUCACCUAUUUAGUCACAAAUCUUGAAGAUUCUCAGAAUUAUACAUGGAAAAUGUGAUCAAAUAAUUUUGAAAUUUUUAUAGACUGAACACUGAGGUUGAAUCAUACACACACUAGUUCUUUGGCAAACAAAUCUAUACACCAAAAUCUUGUCUGUGGUUGAAAUCCUACCAAUGUAAGGGAGCUUACAUUUCUCAAAGCAGCCCACACUUAACUUCCCGGGAGGAAUUAGUUUUGAUGCUGUUUUUCCAUGGAAGGCAUAUGACAGGCCUUCAGGUCACUUUCAUUUGUCUGUCCUAAUUUUGUUCUCAGGAGCAAUGCAAAGUCAGUCCCACACCUCUUCCAAGUAGAAGUUGUUAAAAACUAGUGGUUAACUUAAUGCCAGCUGGAUUACAUCAGCAUGGUGCUGAGCGUAGGCAUCUCACCUGAGGAAAGUUGCCAGCAUAACUAGAGAAAUGGAGAAGGAAAAGCUAUUGCAUCGAGGCAUUGAGGCAUUGUGGAUUCUCCUAUGAGUUGCUGUUUGAGCCGUUGGUUCUCUUGGAGAAGCUCUGGUCCUCACAUCGAGCAUUGCUUCCUGGCUCUGGAGGAGAAGAUGUGGGCUGCUUGGUCUCCAGGAUGAACUCGUCAUGCUGGCUUCCUGCAUCUACUCAACUGUGCUUGUCGUCCGAGGAGCUUGGGGCCUCCGUGUCACUGAGGAUGGCUGUGGUGCUCUUCAGGACAUCCCUGGUCUUUGGUGUGAGUGUGACUUCUCAGCUCCAGCAUAGAGCCCUCAUCCCACCAGCACAGCUCCUUCACCCUGCUAGCAUGGACUUUCUGGCUUCCAAUGCUGACCUUUGGAUCUUCCCAGUACAGAUCCAUAAAAGAGACUGGCGUGUCCUUUGUGUGGGCUCUGGACCUCCAGUUGGAUUCAUGGAAUGCACUGUCAUGAGCUCUGGGUUUUCAUCUGGACUCAUGUGGGACAUCGCUGUGGGAUUUAGGCCCUUGACUAAAUAAUUCCAUGUUUUUGGUGUUGUGGAUAGAUUUCCUGCAUUUUCUUGUGUUAACUCCUGGUAACCAUUAUAAAAAUAAUAUUAUAAUCUC